GAGGGUAUAGCCCAGUGAUAAGAGUGCAUGCCUAGCAUGCAUGAGGUCCUGGGUUAAAUCUCCAGUACCUCCA
rnacentral:tRNA from 1 species